rnacentral:rRNA from 1 species
UACGUAGGGGUGCAGGCGUUUAAUCGGAAUUACUGGGCGUAAAGCGUGCGCAGGCGGUUUGCUAAGACAGGUGUGAAAAUCCCCCGGGCUUAACCUGGGAACUGCGCUUGUAACUGGCAAGCUAGAGUGUGGCAGAGGGGGGGUGGAAUUCCACGUGUAGCAGUGAAAUGCGUAGAGAUGUGGAGGAACACCGAUGGCGAAGGCAGCCCCCUGGGCUAACACCUGGACGCUACAUGCACGAAGCGUGGGGAGCAAACAAGGAUUACGAAACCCGAGUAA